GACGAACGCUGGCGGCGUGCUUAACACAUGCAAGUCGAACGGAAAGGCCCGGCUUUUGUGGGGUGCUCGAGUGGCGAACGCGUGAGUAACACGCGAGUAACCUGCCCUUGACUUUGGGAUAACUUCAGGAAACUGGGGCUAAUACCGGAUAGCAGCUCCUGCUGCAUGGUGGGGGCUGGAAAGUUUCGGCGGUUGGGGAUCGACUCGCGGGUUAUCAGCUGGUUGGUGGAGUAGUGGCUGACCAAGGCUGUGACGGGUAGCCGGCCGGGGAGGGUGACCGGGCACAUUGGGACUAAGAGACGCCGCAGUAUCGUAUGGGAGGCAGCGGUGGGGAGUGUUGCACAAUGGGGGGACGCGUGAUGUGAUGGCGCGGGGAGCGGAAUGCCGGGCUUCGGGUUGUAAACAGCUGUGGCAUGUGACGUAGAGUGCGUGACGGUAAUGGGUCAAGAAGCACCGGCUAACUACGUG
rnacentral:rRNA from 1 species